rnacentral:lncRNA from 1 species
AAACCUCUAAAUUUUCUAAACUGUCCUAUUGAGCAGUUCUCUCUCCAGAUUCUCCAUAGGAUGUUAAGAAAAGUUCUAUGGGGAAAAAAAGGGAAGGGGAUUCAGAAUUAAGUUAGUUUAAAAGUCUUUUUCAUGAUUCUUUUAAAAAGGUGCAAAGGUGGAUUGGCAGAUUGGGAAGCUCUAAGGUGUGGGGAUGGAGGAGGGGCACUGUUCUAAACAUUUACAUGUACUACUUUAUUUAAUUUCACAAUAAUCCAAUAAAGAAGUACUAUCCAUGUUUUGCAGAUUAGAUCUCUGAAACCAAGGAGCAACUGUUGCCAAAUUACUGAGUAAAUAUCAAAGGUGGGAUCCAAAUCUAUGUCUGGAAAAGUCAAAGUCUGCGCUGCUUCAAAGUUGAGCAGGAUGGGGCAGUAGAGGCAAUGGAAAUAAGUCUAGAAGGGCACCAUCCAAUUUGGUAGCCACUAACUGCACGUGGUUAUUUCAAUUUUAAUUAAUUUUAUUUAAGUUUUAAUUAGUUAAAAUUAAUUAAAAUUUAAAAUUUGGCUUCUCAGUCACACUGGCCAUGCUUCAAAUGCACUACAGAUAGUGAAAGAGCAUCAGAAAAAUGUGUCCACAAAACAAAACUAUAGGCUAUUAUUUUAGAACAAGCUAAAAGGCAUUAACAAGAUAAUAUAUGUAAAGGAUCACACAAAUCAGAAUUAGAAAAACUAAGAAGUGAGUUGAGAGAACUUAGGAAAAAAUUAGAAAUGAAGAAAACAAUAUUAACAAAAUGAAGACUAAAGUAAAAGAAUAAAAGAGCAAAAAACUGAUAAUGGCUAAGACCAAUACAAGGCAAAACAGAAGAAGAAUAUUUAAAAAAGAUACAGUCUAGAGAAAGUAACAAGUAUUGAAAAUAGACUAAAAAGAUGAAACACAAGGAUGAUAGGAAUCCCUGAAGAAGAAAACCAAACCAAAGGAAAAAAACAAAUACUAAGAGCUAUAAUUAAAGAAGUAUUUCUUGAAUUAAAAAAAGAUUUAAAACUAGAUAUUGAAAGAUUGCUCUACAUACCUGACACUAUCAACUCAGAAAAAUCAACACCAAAGCAUAAUCUAGUAAAAUUACUGGACUUUGAAGAAUGGGGGGAAAAAUCCUUUGGGUAUUUAGAUUUUUUAAAGUGUAUAUAACUUAGAAAGAAAAUUAUAUUAUCAUCUGACAUAGUAAUCCCUUUAGGUCAGAAAAAAAUGGACAAACAAGAUAUUUAGGAAAGAUACUGUGAGCCAAGGAUUUUAUUUGAAGUGACUUUCAAGUGUAAAGGACACAGACAAACUUUUAUCAACAUACGAGAACUCAAGAAAUAUUGGUCCCAUCAGCCCUUUAUGAGGAAUCUAUAGAGAAUGAGCUUCAGACAACCAAAGUUACUGGAGAGAUAUUGGAAUAAGGAGGUGAGUGUUAACUAUAUAGACAACUCUUAUAGAACAAAAACUAAAUGAGGAACAAGGAGAGAGUGUAAUGUAUAUUAACCAUAUGAUCUGACAAUGUAGAUAUAAUAAAAAUAAAAUGAGAGGAAAGCAUAUACAAAUUUUAACAGACUUUCAAUAUUCAUAUUGGUGGUAAUAUUAGCAUUAGUAAUCUGCUGCUAUGCAUAUAAUAGGAAGUAAGACAAAUGAGUAAUCAGGGGAUAGUCUAAUUUUAUCAUCCCCUGUCAUCUUGACAACCAGGAUUUGAGGUGUAGAAGAAAGAAGUUAAUCUAAAUUCCUAAAACUAUAAUAGUUUUGAAUUUGACUUUCUCUCUCUUUACUAGCUCUUUCAACUGAGUUUUCUCUUCUCAUUAAACUAAAGAGUCAUGAGGUAUCAUUAUCCGCUGCUGCCCUUUAUAAUCUUAAGGCAAAUACUGGUACAAAAUACUCAUUUUCUACUCUAGAAAUAUUUUUUUUGAUUGAAAAAAA